rnacentral:lncRNA from 1 species
UAUGCAGUAAUCAUAUACCUAUGUUCCUGAAUAUUACUUUAUAAUUAUUGGACCUAUUCGAAUGUUAGAUAUUAUUGCUAGAUGGUCACUUCGAUUAGUACAGAAAGAGUUCCUGUAUUAUCGGUUUAGUGUUCAAAUUUAUGGAGUCACGUACAAAAUCAAAUGAUGUAGGAAAGAAUUGACCGAAUACUUAUGUAUUCAAUUUGAAAGUACG